rnacentral:piRNA from 1 species
AAGAGUGAUAAAGGAGCUGC